AAGAUUUUUUUUUGCUACUAAUGGGUUAUGCACAUGAGGUUUGGUAAUUAUAAAAAAUAUUGAUGCAAGCAGGAAAUCUUGGCACGGCGGCAGUGUGUAGUUCUCAGAGCAGGAGUAACAGGACACACACAUUUGUCUUCGGCUUGCUACUCACACAACUGUCGUUUCCAACUGUUGUGGAACCUUCUGGUUGCAAAAUUCCAUCCCUCACAUAGUAACAAGAGAGUCAAAACAGUCCCUCCCUCCAGAGCUUUGAUCACACAACAGUUUUGUAACCAUGUUCUCUCAGAAAGUUCCAUAGUCCACCCAUCUGGAACAAAAUAGUGAUUUCCAGAAAAGAAACAAGAAAAAUCAAUAACCUACAUUUUAAUGUGAAAUGACAACAUGUUUAACAACAGACUUCCCAGGCAUGCUUCAGGAGAGAAUGCGAGAACAGAAUUUUAGAACCAGAAGGAAACUUAGAGAUGAUGAGAACUUAACACUGGAUUUCACAGGUGAGAAAUGGAGACCCUGACUGGAGAACUUUCUUGGGUCACACAACUAGUUAUCCACUUUCAGCUUGGUCUUCUUUCAAUCUUCAUUUGCCUCCUAAAUAAAAGAUCUGCUGGCUCGG
rnacentral:lncRNA from 1 species